rnacentral:rRNA from 2 species
GGCUCAGAUUGAACGCUGGCGGCAGGCCUAACACAUGCAAGUCGAGCGGCAGCACGGGUACUUGUACCUGGUGGCGAGCGGCGGACGGGUGAGUAAUGCCUAGGAAUCUGCCUGGUAGUGGGGGAUAACGUUCGGAAACGAACGCUAAUACCGCAUACGUCCUACGGGAGAAAGCAGGGGACCUUCGGGCCUUGCGCUAUCAGAUGAGCCUAGGUCGGAUUAGCUAGUUGGUGAGGUAAUGGCUCACCAAGGCGACGAUCCGUAACUGGUCUGAGAGGAUGAUCAGUCACACUGGAACUGAGACACGGUCCAGACUCCUACGGGAGGCAGCAGUGGGGAAUAUUGGACAAUGGGCGAAAGCCUGAUCCAGCCAUGCCGCGUGUGUGAAGAAGGUCUUCGGAUUGUAAAGCACUUUAAGUUGGGAGGAAGGGCAGUUACCUAAUACGUAAUUGUUUUGACGUUACCGACAGAAUAAGCACCGGCUAACUCUGUGCCAGCAGCCGCGGUAAUACAGAGGGUGCAAGCGUUAAUCGGAAUUACUGGGCGUAAAGCGCGCGUAGGUGGUUCGUUAAGUUGGAUGUGAAAUCCCCGGGCUCAACCUGGGAACUGCAUUCAAAACUGUCGAGCUAGAGUAUGGUAGAGGGUGGUGGAAUUUCCUGUGUAGCGGUGAAAUGCGUAGAUAUAGGAAGGAACACCAGUGGCGAAGGCGACCACCUGGACUGAUACUGACACUGAGGU